rfam:Oryza glumipatula chromosome 2, whole genome shotgun sequence.
AAAAAAAAAAAACAUAGGUUUCCGUAUCCAACGUUUGACCGUCCGUCUUAUUUAAAAAAAUUAUGAAAAAAAUUAAAAAGACAAGUCACGCAUAAAGUAUUAAUUAUAUUUUAUCAUCUAACAACAAUGAAAAUACUAAUUAUAAAAAAAAUUUAUAUAAGACGAACAGUCUAACGUUGGACACGGAAACCCAGAGUUUAUCUUUUU